rnacentral:rRNA from 1 species
UACAGAGGUCCCAAGCGUUGUUCGGAUUCACUGGGCGUAAAGGGUGCGUAGGCGGUGAGGUAAGUCGGAUGUGAAAGCUCGGAGCUCAACUCCGAAAUGGCAUUGGAAACUACCUUGCUCGAGGGUUGGAGGGGGGGCUGGAAUGCUUGGUGUAGCAGUGAAAUGCGUAGAUAUCAAGCGGAACACCAGUGGCGAAGGCGAGUCCCUGGACAACUCCUGACACUGAGGCACGAAAGCUAGGGGAGCAAACAGG